GCUGGAUAGCUCCAUUGGUUAGAGUGUGAUGCUGAUAACGCCAAGGUUGCUGGUUCGAUCCCUGAAUGGGGCAGCU
rnacentral:tRNA from 1 species